AUUGAACGCUGGCGGCAUGCCUUACACAUGCAAGUCGAACGGCAGCACGGGGCAACCUGGUGGCGAGUGGCGAACGGGUGAGUAAUGCAUCGGAACGUACCUUUCAGUGGGGGAUAACGUAGCGAAAGUUACGCUAAUACCGCAUAUUCUGUGAGCAGGAAAGCAGGGGAUCGCAAGACCUUGCGCUGAUUGAGCGGCCGAUGUCAGAUUAGCUAGUUGGUGAGGUAAAGGCUCACCAAGGCGACGAUCUGUAGCGGGUCUGAGAGGAUGAUCGGCCACCCUGGAAAGGGGACACGGUCCAGACUCCUACGGGAGGCAGCAGUGGGGAAUUUUGGACAAUGGGGGCAACCCUGAUCCAGCCAUGCCGCGUGAGUGAAGAAGGCCUUCGGGUUGUAAAGCUCUUUCGGCCGGGAAGAAAUCGCACGGGCUAAUACCCUGUGUGGAUGACGGUACCGGAAUAAGAAGCACCGGCUAACUACGUGCCAGCAGCCGCAGUAAAAC
rnacentral:rRNA from 1 species